rnacentral:rRNA from 1 species
CAGUAGCCACGGUAAUACGUAGGUGGCAAGCGUUGUCCGGAUUUAUUGGGCGUAAAGCGAGCGCAGGCGGUUUCUUAAGUCUGAUGUGAAAGCCCCCGGCUCAACCGGGGAGGGUCAUUGGAAACUGGGAAACUUGAGUGCAGAAGAGGAGAGUGGAAUUCCAUGUGUAGCGGUGAAAUGCGUAGAUAUAUGGAGGAACACCAGUGGCGAAGGCGGCUCUCUGGUCUGUAACUGACGCUGAGGCUCGAAAGCGUGGGGAGCAAACAGGAUUAGAGACCCCUGUAGUCCCUGUCUCUUAUAA